UUUUAAACUGAAGUCAGGGAAUCGGCUUAUAUUCGAGUAUAUACGGGAUAAUAUUUAACUUGUAUGGAUCAUUUUCAAUUAGCUUCAUUCUCUAAUACAUUGUCUCCAAACUUUUUCAAUCUCUUAAUCUCUUAUCACUUAAAAAUACAAAAGGUAUUCCAUGCAACAGACAUGAAAUAUGGUAAGCAAAUAUAAUUUAUGUGAAAUAUCACGAUGACAUAUGAUGAACAAACAUACAGACAAAUUUAAUCUGUGUACAUUUUUAUUUUGGAAUGGGAAAAGAUCAAAGAAAAGCAGAUUUGAAAAAAGUAAUCAUCAUCAUUCCAAACAUCUCCAUCAUUUUGAAAUGAUUAAAGGCGUGGUUGUAAUGUUUGUCAUCAGUCUAGAGGAGGAUAAGAUUAAAAAUUUGAUAGUCCAAUUUUGGAUCCUUAUUUGAUAAUCCAACCGAGUCAAGAUCAUCAUCUAAUAGAGGAAACAUGAAAAGUUUUGAACCACCACCAUUUUUAAACGAAUUUGGAUUAUCUUCAACAGAAUGUUCCUACACAAUUAUAUAAAAUUUAGGUUAAGACAGAAAACUUGCUUCUGUAUCAAUCUUGAAAAAACAUAAGGCACUAAACAAGCAAGCAAGGUUUUGUUCUGCAUAAAACGUUUUCGGACUUUCGUGGGGGUCCC
rnacentral:lncRNA from 1 species